AGCAUGUUAUCGAAGAUAAAACCUAGUCUGUGAUACCAAUUUCAUGCUUUGUAUUUAUUCAAAUAUAUUCUUUGACCAAUAAUAAACUUAAUAUGAAAUGGUUUUCUUCAGACUCUAAUUAAUAUAAUUGUUAAGAGUAAAUGAGGUUACCUGUUAAAAAAAUGCAAGUUUAAUAAGGUAUGCAGCAAGGACGACUUUUAUAGUCACUUUUCGUUCUUACAUUGACAAAUAUAAGCAAUCGUGUCAGACAAAGAGCAACAUCGGGUCCAUUUCGGAGAGCAUGCCGAUAGUUCUGGUAAAGAUAAUGAAAUUGUUAUACAGAAACGAUGAUUGGCAAUUCACAGCACACGACGGAUUUUUACAAGUGGGCCACAGCAUCUGUUAAGUUUCAAGGACUGUUGGAAUGCAUUGUGCCACAUAAAAUGGUGUCAUCCAAAGCAGCUUUAAAUUUGCUUCAGUGGAUAUUCACUUAUUUCUGUACUGCACCAAUUGGAAGUGUUAAGUCAGCAUUAGAAUGGAUUAUAAGUUUGAUUAAGUUUGGUUUAAGAGAUGAAGUGCCAAUCCAUCAUUUUAUCAUCAUUUUUAUUUGCUUCUUGAAAAUGAGAGAUUGGCUGUUGCUGUCUGCAAAUUAAUACAUCUGUUAACAACUCCUAAUGAUGUCUCAAGGUGGAGAGUGAAAAAGAUAUUGAAGGUUGAACAGAAGCUAAGGAAGAGGAAUCACACUUCUUGUCUUCUGUGCAUCAAGAUAACCUGUAAUAAUGGUUACUGGGACUGAGACUGAAUAUUGCUGGUACCAGCUCAGGCACUUCAUCAUCCGAUGAAUUCAUGGCCUUACGUUUAUUUAUGCUUGACGAAUGUCUUAUCCGUGUAAUUCUCAAAUGACUGAAUUUACGAAACAAUUAUACAUAUAUUACGAAUCCAACAGCACUAUACUCGAAACAUGAUCAUAACCUAUCAAAGUAUUCAAUAAUUUUCAAAGAUGACAACUUCAACCAACGUAAGUACGUGAAUUAUUUAUUGUUAGGAAUAAAACACGUAUUCAAAUAUUCGGGGUAUCAGAAUCAUAACAAACAUAUACGAAACAUACACAUUUAUUAGUUAAACACAGCAGCGCACAUCAUAACAGAUGAAUGUUGGUCUUCUUCAACGCGUUUUGACUGUACUGCCAUCUACUUCCAUCUUGUAGAGCUCCUAUAGGGACAUUGGUAAACCAAAAUUGAAUGUAGACCUCGAUAGCCAGUCGGUAAUAAAGUAAACUACUAUUCUAUACCAAUCCACCUAACCACCCUCUCCCCAUUUCAGGUUCCCAGUUUUAAUCAUCACAAGAAGUGAAUGUGGAAAUUCUCGUUGGAAAUUUUUUUUUAACUGGAAUUGUUUUUCCACCAGCUGGGUGUUACAUGUCUAUAUUGUUCUAAGUCCUUGAACACAAAAAUUGACAGUAAAAAGCAAAAGGGUUGCAGUAACUAAAAAUAGUGAUUUUUAAACCAUGAUCACCAGCCAACACAUAUCACAUUUAUUUAUCAGUUUGCAAUAAAAAGUCAGGGCCCUCUGAGUCUACACUUUUCUGUCACCAGUUUCCAAUAAACAACUAAAUCAGUAAAGAAGAAAAAACAAUGUUUAGAACGCAUGGUUUUGUGUUUAUGUGAAACCUAAAGAAAGUGUACACAUUAUAUCGCAAUUCGUUUGUGUUGUUAAUAAGACCAAUAAGAACAGAAUUAGGUAGUAGUCAGUGAAUAAAUGUUAUGUUGAGGAGAUACGCCUAUGUUUUUUCAUUAAGGAGCAUGUAGGUGUCUCUACCAGUCGCUCAAGUUACCACAAGUCUUUAUCCAGCUUCUAAUAGUGUAAUGGGAAUGGGCCUAAUUCUGUCUCACUAAUGGCAGUUCUCGGCCUGAUACAACACUGUACAGUAGCCAUUUGGUACAUUUCAUCUUGUUAUAUCUCCAUCUGUAUGUGUAGUUCUGUCUCUGUCUAAGUGUACUUUAUCAGUCUCGGAAACUACGCACCUCCCGUUUGCCCAUACUAAAUUGCUCUCUGACAUUUGCUGUUGCCUAAUCUCAUCCUUACUAGGCGCUUAUUAGGCCAACCUUUCACUGCUGCAAGCAAGAUAAAUCGUGAAGAAACAAUGUGCUAUGUAUAACUCCUAGAUUUGAUGAUACAAAGGAAUAUAUCGGCUUUCGCCAUCUUUUGAUGAUCAAAGACAAUAAUGUAUUGAUUUCAAAAAUUAUAUAAUUUAUCAAGGAAGAUCCUUUACAAGAGAACCUAGGAAAUUCUUUGAAAGGUUGACUGUAUACUCGGCUCAUCAAAGAAUAGCCCACUUCCUUUAUGAAAGUUAUAGGUUUAUCAUCAUGUUCACAAAAGCCCACCACUGGACUCUAUCCUGAUCUAGCUGCAUCCAGUUCACUCUAUCUAUUUCCCUAUGGUCCGCAUUAACUCAGUCAACAAACAAAAACAGCCAAACUUAAACUGUGAGAUCAAAAGAUAUCCAAUGUUUUUGAUACAAAAGCUUAUCAAUAUUAAAUGCCAAGUUAACAGAAACAAUUUCUGACCUGAAACCGUCUAUCUUACAAAAUGUCUAUGUUAAGAAAGGAAAAAUUUACCAUACACUAUGGCCCAAAAUCUUGAGACCUCAAAACAGACUUUUGGAUGGUGGGCUUCAUGCACUCUUUUCUUAUGUUCAUGUAACAAUGCACACAAGCUGAGAAGUGUUUAUUACAAACAUAAUGUAUUUUGAUCUUUAAAAGAUCAUCAUUCUUGUUGGAGAUGGACUGGCAUUAAAAUAUCAGUAUAUCUGUGCACAAAUAAUAAAUUAAAUAAACACACCCAUCAUAUUUGUAUCUUAGUACAGAAAUGCUGUAUCAGAAGUCAAUUGACUUUAUGAUGUGCUGUUGUGUUGCUGCUUUUUAGUACCUUUGUAUCAUCAGGCAUACAUUUUCACGAACCUCCAAGCAAUAAAAAGUGUGCUUAUUAAAAAUGUUCAGUGUGAUAGGUAUAUUUUAUUUUUAGUUGGAAUAACACAGUAUCAUGAAUUUUGAUGCAUUUUCCAAAAUAUGCCAUUCUUCACAUAGCAUCAUGUCAUGCUUUGUGUUUAACUUCCAUAGACUGAAGAUUGGUGUCUUCUGGAUUGUUGCGCCACGUAGUCUGGUAGAUGUAGACUGCGUGUAUGUGCAUUGCACAAAGAUUGGAAAUUGAAACAACCCAGUUAUAUAUAUGUUGAUGCAUUUUAAAAUUAGUGUCAUUCAGAUUAGUAGAUGUAAUUGUCAUAUCACUUGUUUUAUUUUAUAUAUGAAUAUCAUUUAAACACUCAGCUCCAACUUUAAAAAAUCUGUUUUAUGAUUUUUAAGGAAAUAGUAGCUGUUUCUUUUGAGAAUAUACAAAACUUGUAACCAGUUCUGCAUCACUGCAUGCCAUGAGAUCACGAUGCAGUCGACUCUUUGUGAAUUGCACUUCUAAAUCGUAUCUUAGCUUAAAACAUUUGUUUAGCAUUUUCCAGAAACCCCUAGUUCUUUGUGAAAAUCCUGAUAUAUCUCCUGUCAGAUACAAACACACAUAGAAAGAUAUAAGUUAAAGUUUAUGGGUCAUUUACAAGAACAUGGUCAGAAUCAAUUGGGGUUCUUCUGCAUGCUGGUGAUAAAUUUAAAAGGAGAGAAAAUGUGUUGGUACUGCUGAAUACAGCCGUUCAAACUUUGGACAGGGGGAAAAAACACCAGUAAUUAAUAAAAUUCAAAAUGAUUUGCCACACUGGUUAAUUAAAAAGCAGCUAUUCAUGUUUUAUGUUAUGCCACUUUUCUACUAUAACAUUCAAAUAAAAAUAAAAAUGGGGCAUAAAGGACAAAUGCCGAAACUAUGAAUAACUCUCCUUCUGUAACAGAGGACAAGGUUCAUACAUGAUAUACGAUAUUUAUUUGGCAUCUAGCUCUGAAUCAACUGUGCAAAUGAACUAACAAAAAAUGUAUCUGGCUACAAG